rnacentral:rRNA from 1 species
GAGGAGCUUGCUCCUCUGAUCAGUGGCGAACGGGUGAGUAACACGUGAGCAACCUGCCCCAGACUCUGGGAUAACAGUUGGAAACAGCUGCUAAUACCGGAUACGAGACGGAGAGGCAUCUCUACCGUCUGGAAAGUUUUUCGGUCUGGGAUGGACUCGCGGCCUAUCAGCUAGUUGGUGAGGUAAUGGCUCACCAAGGCGACGACGGGUAGCCGGCCUGAGAGGGCGACCGGCCACACUGGGACUGAGACACGGCCCAGACUCCUACGGGAGGCAGCAGUGGGGAAUAUUGCACAAUGGGCGAAAGCCUGAUGCAGCGACGCCGCGUGAGGGAUGACGGCCCUCGGGUUGUAAACCUCUUUCAGCAGGGAAGAAGCGAAAGUGACGGUACCUGCAGAAGAAGCACCGGCUAACUACGUGCCAGCAGCCGCAGUAAUACGUAGGGUGCGAGCGUUGUCCGGAAUUAUUGGGCGUAAAGAGCUUGUAGGCGGUUUGUCGCGUCUGCAGUGAAAAUCCGAGGCUCAACCUCGGACUUGCUGUGGGUACGGGCAGACUAGAGUAUGGUAGGGGAGACCGGAAUUCCUGGUGUAGCGGUGGAAUGCGCAGAUAUCAGGAGGAACACCGAUGGCGAAGGCAGGUCUCUGGGCCAUAACUGACGCUGAGAAGCGAAAGCAUGGGGAGCGAACAGGAUUAGAUACCCUGGUAGUCCAUGCCGUAAACGUUGGGCGCUAGGUGUGGGGCUCAUUCCACGAGCUCCGUGCCGCAGCUAACGCAUUAAGCGCCCCGCCUGGGGAGUACGGCCGCAAGGCUAAAACUCAAAGGAAUUGACGGGGGCCCGCACAAGCGGCGGAGCAUGCGGAUUAAUUCGAUGCAACGCGAAG